CAAACUACCACCUUGUGUUACCCCUUCCUCUUAACUCCUCCUUUCUCUUCUCCUUUUUGUUCCUUUUGUCUCCACACCUCCUCUUUUUUCCACUGUUUGUACCACCGUUGUACACCUUACCACAGCCUACUUUCACUUUUUUUUCAUCACCACCCCUUUUACUCCAUCAUACAUCACCAUUGUUGCCACAUUGCACCAUCAUUACCACCGCCCCUUAUACUUUUGCCACCUUUCAUUCUUCUCCCUUUACUUCUGAUUUCCUUUUCUUUUCUUUUGUUUCCAUUUCACCACCACCAUGUCGUUGUUGUGUCAUCGCCGUGCCACCACCAUCACCUUUCUUCUCUUCUCUUUUGAUAUAUUUUUCUAUAACCGAAUUCUUUUUGUCAUCUAAAAGUUCUUACUGAAUAUUCGUUCUUGAUAAAUAUUUAUUUCAAUCCCCUAUUAUAAUAUAUUAUAUUAUUUCGGUCAAUUCUAAUGAGUAUAAAUUUUUUG
rnacentral:lncRNA from 1 species